UAUUUCUUAAAGGAUGAAACAUUCCACAAAAUAUAUUUUAUCACAGACUAUGCCAGGCUCACCCCUCACAUUCUAUUCAACUGCACAGGAUAGAAUGAGACAUCCCUCUCUCACAAGAGCUCCCUGGAAACUGCAGAGGAAUCACCAUCUUCAGCAAGCUUUAUCAAGAAUGCAUUCAUGAGAUUCCCACUUUAAACAUCCAGCCAAGCACUUUUAUGUCUGUCACAGAGGCUUUAAAGGAGAGGCUGGAGAGUUCUCAUUUUCAGCACCAUCUCAGCUGUCGGUAUUUCCCAAACCUGCACUGAUGUCUGAGAAUCCACAUCAAAACUUUUGCAUUUGUCCUCAAAGAAUGUCACAACUAUUAUUCUGAAAUGCUCAUUGCAUCUAUUUCUAGGGAUGGUAAUGAUGACUCUGUACGGACUAAGAUAGGAUUAAUAACAAUGCAGAGUUGAACUCA
rnacentral:lncRNA from 10 species